rnacentral:tRNA from 1 species
GGUGGCUCAGUGGUGGAGCACUUGCCUUGCAUGCAUGAGGUCCUGGGUUCGAUUCCUCAGCACCA